UACGGAGGAUGCGAGCGUUAUCCGGAUUUAUUGGGUUUAAAGGGUGCGUAGGCUGAAUAUCAAGUCAGCGGUGAAACGUUACAGCUUAACUGUGACCGUGCCGUUGAAACUGUUAUUCUGGAGUGCGAGCGAGGUAGGCGGAAUGUGCCGUGUAGCGGUGAAAUGCAUAGAUAUGGCACAGAACUCCGAUUGCGAAGGCAGCUUACCAGUACGCUACUGACGCUGAGGCACGAAAGCGUGGGUAUCGAACAGGAUUAGAUACCCUGGUAGUCCACGCGGUAAACGAUGGUCACUAGCUGUUUGCGAUAUACAGUAAGCGGCCGAGCGAAAGCGUUAAGUGAUCCACCUGGGGAGUACGUUGGCAACAAUGAA
rnacentral:rRNA from 1 species